AACACAACCCAACCAAACCGUUGUCUAUCGACGUGACGAAAAGAGACGGGCAAAAUCAGUGCGGACAUGUAACGGUUACUUUUGAUACCGGUUCUCAGUGGUACUGAGUACAAAUACUGAUAUAUCUGAUCCUUGUACUGAAUUGAGACUUAGGUCUACAGACCGGGCGCGUCUCGUAAAUUGCACGAAUUCGCGCAAUCGUACUUGAGACACUGUGUCAGGUAGAAAAUGAAUCGUUGUACUAAGUGUUUAGUUUCUUUCGAGGAAUUAAAGGCUGUACAAAAAAUUGUAGUCCCGAUAAAACCCACCAUAGAUGCUAUAAGAAAU
rnacentral:lncRNA from 1 species